GCCCUGGUGGCACAAUGGUUAAGUGCUCAGCUGCUAGCUGAAGAGUUGGUGGUUCGAACCCACCCAGUGGUU
rnacentral:tRNA from 1 species